GUGAAUCAUCGAAUCUUUGAACGCACAUUGCGCCCCCUGGCAUUCCGGGGGGCAUGCCUGUUCGAGCGUCAUUACAACCCUCAAGCUCUGCUUGGUAUUGGGCGCCGUCCUCUCUGCGGACGCGCCUUAAAGACCUCGGCGGUGGCUGUUCAGCCCUCAAGCGUAGUAGAAUACACCUCGCUUUGGAGUGGUUGGCGUCGCCCGCCGGACGAACCUUCUGAACUUUUCUCAAGGUUGACCUCGGAUCAGGUAGGGAUACCCGCUGAACUUAAGCAUAUCAAUAAGCGGAGGA
rnacentral:misc_RNA from 1 species